rnacentral:rRNA from 1 species
AGUGAACGCUGGCGGUAGGCCUAACACAUGCAAGUCGAACGGCAGCACAGUAAGAGCUUGCUCUUACGGGUGGCGAGUGGCGGACGGGUGAGGAAUACAUCGGAAUCUACUUUUUCGUGGGGGAUAACGUAGGGAAACUUACGCUAAUACCGCAUACGACCUACGGGUGAAAGCAGGGGAUCUUCGGACCUUGCGCGAUUGAAUGAGCCGAUGUCGGAUUAGCUAGUUGGCGGGGUAAAGGCCCAUCAAGGCGACGAUCCGUAGCUGGUCUGAGAGGAUGAUCAGGCACACUGGAACUGAGACACGGUCCAGACUCCUACGGGAGGCAGCAGUGGGGAAUAUUGGACAAUGGGCGCAAGCCUGAUCCAGCCAUACCGCGUGGGUGAAGAAGGCCUUCGGGUUGUAAAGCCCUUUUGUUGGGAAAGAAAAGCAGCAGGUUAAUACCCCGCUGUUCUGACGGUACCCAAAGAAUAAGCACCGGCUAACUUCGUG